UACGUAGGGUGCGAGCGUUGUCCGGAUUUAUUGGGCGUAAAGAGCUCGUAGGCGGUUCAGUAAGUCGGUUGUGAAAACUCCAGGCUCAACCUGGAGCCUGCAUUCGAUACUGCUGUGACUAGAGUCUGGUAGGGGAUCACGGAAUUCCUGGUGUAGCGGUGAAAUGCGCAGAUAUCAGGAGGAACACCGGUGGCGAAGGCGGUGAUCUGGGCCAGUACUGACGCUGAGGAGCGAAAGCGUGGGGAGCAAACAGG
rnacentral:rRNA from 1 species